AAAUUGAAGAGUUUGAUCAUGGCUCAGAUUGAACGCUGGCGGCAGGCCUAACACAUGCAAGUCGAGCGGUAACACAGAGAGCUUGCUCUCGGGUGACGAGCGGCGGACGGGUGAGUAAUGUCUGGGAAGCUGCCUGAUGGAGGGGGAUAACUACUGGAAACGGUAGCUAAUACCGCAUAACGUCGCAAGACCAAAGUGGGGGACCUUCGGGCCUCAUGCCAUCAGAUGUGCCCAGAUGGGAUUAGCUAGUAGGUGGGGUAAUGGCUCACCUAGGCGACGAUCCCUAGCUGGUCUGAGAGGAUGACCAGCCACACUGGAACUGAGACACGGUCCAGACUCCUACGGGAGGCAGCAGUGGGGAAUAUUGCACAAUGGGCGCAAGCCUGAUGCAGCCAUGCCGCGUGUAUGAAGAAGGCCUUCGGGUUGUAAAGUACUUUCAGCGAGGAGGAAGGCGUUAAGGUUAAUAACCUUAGCGAUUGACGUUACUCGCAGAAGAAGCACCGGCUAACUCCGUGCCAGCAGCCGCGGUAAUACGGAGGGUGCAAGCGUUAAUCGGAAUUACUGGGCGUAAAGCGCACGCAGGCGGUCUGUCAAGUCGGAUGUGAAAUCCCCGGGCUCAACCUGGGAACUGCAUUCGAAACUGGCAGGCUAGAGUCUUGUAGAGGGGGGUAGAAUUCCAGGUGUAGCGGUGAAAUGCGUAGAGAUCUGGAGGAAUACCGGUGGCGAAGGCGGCCCCCUGGACAAAGACUGACGCUCAGGUGCGAAAGCGUGGGGAGCAAACAGGAUUAGAUACCCUGGUAGUCCACGCCGUAAACGAUGUCGACUUGGAGGUUGUGCCCUUGAGGCGUGGCUUCCGGAGCUAACGCGUUAAGUCGACCGCCUGGGGAGUACGGCCGCAAGGUUAAAACUCAAAUGAAUUGACGGGGGCCCGCACAAGCGGUGGAGCAUGUGGUUUAAUUCGAUGCAACGCGAAGAACCUUACCUGGUCUUGACAUCCACAGAACUUUCCAGAGAUGGAUUGGUGCCUUCGGGAACUGUGAGACAGGUGCUGCAUGGCUGUCGUCAGCUCGUGUUGUGAAAUGUUGGGUUAAGUCCCGCAACGAGCGCAACCCUUAUCCUUUGUUGCCAGCGGUCCGGCCGGGAACUCAAAGGAGACUGCCAGUGAUAAACUGGAGGAAGGUGGGGAUGACGUCAAGUCAUCAUGGCCCUUACGACCAGGGCUACACACGUGCUACAAUGGCAUAUACAAAGAGAAGCGACCUCGCGAGAGCAAGCGGACCUCAUAAAGUAUGUCGUAGUCCGGAUUGGAGUCUGCAACUCGACUCCAUGAAGUCGGAAUCGCUAGUAAUCGUAGAUCAGAAUGCUACGGUGAAUACGUUCCCGGGCCUUGUACACACCGCCCGUCACACCAUGGGAGUGGGUUGCAAAAGAAGUAGGUAGCUUAACCUUCGGGAGGGCGCUUACCACUUUGUGAUUCAUGACUGGGGUGAAGUCGUAACAAGGUAACCGUAGGGGAACCUGCGGUUGGAUCACCUCCUUA
rnacentral:rRNA from 1 species